rnacentral:rRNA from 1 species
AACGAACGCUGGCGGCGCGCCUAAUACAUGCAAGUCGAGCGAGAAGACGUAGCAAUACGUUUGUAAAGCGGCGAACGGGUGAGGAAUACAUGGGUAACCUACCCUCGAGUGGGGAAUAACUAGCCGAAAGGUUAGCUAAUACCGCGUACGCUCCUUGGACUUCGGUUCAGGGAGGAAAGCGAUACCGUGGGUAUCGCGCUCUUGGAUGGGCUCAUGUCCUAUCAGCUUGUUGGGAGGUAACGGCUCACCAAGGCUUCGACGGGUAGCUGGUCUGAGAGGACGAUCAGCCACACUGGCACUGCGACACGGGCCAGACUCCUACGGAGGCAGCAGUAAGGAAUAUUGCGCAAUGGGCGAAAGCCUGACGCAGCGACGCCGCGUGGGGGAUGAAGGUCUUCGGAUUGUAAACCCCUUUGGGA